CAACCUUGACAAGCUCGCCUGAAACACCUUGAACAAGUGAUGCAGAAGAGUCUAAAUCUACUCCUCCCUCCUUAUCAAGAACAAGCUCAACUCUCUCAUCAACCUCUACAACCUCCUCAUAAAGAUUUGAUGGUUUUGAUACAGUGAGGUCAAAUAUAUGUGGACGAGCCUGAUUACCAAUCUGGAGCAAAUCCCUAAAGCCUCGAGUGACACACAGUGCAAUUCUCUCCCCUUUCCUCUCCAACAAUGCAUUUGUUGCCACGGUUGUACCCAUCCUCACCCAUUCGAUCUUAUCAGUAGGAAUUUUCGAACUACGGGGAAUUUUCUUUCCAGUAAAUUCCUCCAAAAUCCUCCUUAUUCCUUCAACUGAAUACAGCGAGGUCAAAUAUAUGCGGACGAGCCUGAUUACCAAUCUGGAGCAAAUCCCUAAAGCCUCGAGUGACACACAGAGCAAUUCUCUCUCCCUUCCUCUCCAACAAUGCAUUUGUUGCCACGGUUGUACCCAUCCUCACCCAUUCGAUCUUAUC
rnacentral:lncRNA from 1 species